AUGUCUGCACCGGUGGUCAGCGCCACCAUGGGGGCGAUGAACCCCCUCAUAGGCAAGCUCGCCGCACUGAUGGGUGACGAGUACAAGAAGCUCACGUCAGUCAGGAAGCAGGCCUCGUUCCUCAAGGAUGAGCUCAGCGCCAUGAAAGCUCUCCUUGAGAAGCUUGAGCUCAUGAAUGAACUGGAUCCCUUGGCCAAGAACUGGAGGGAUCAUGUGAGGGAGAUGUCCUACGACAUGGAGAAUUGCAUCGAUGACUUCAUGCGAGACCUUGGAGGUGCCGAUGCCAAGAUGGGCUUUAUAAAGAAGACGGCUAAACGUCUCAAGACGCUGCGGAAGCGUCAUCGUAUUGCUGAUCGGAUGGAGGAGCUCAAGGCUCUUGCUCUACAGGCAAAUGAACGACGCAUGAGGUACCUUAUUGUAGUAGAUGACUUAUGGGAUCAAUCAACAUGGAAUAUUAUAAGUUGUAUCUUUCCGGAAGUUGGUAAAGGAAAUAGAGUAAUAGUAACUACACGAAUGGACGAUGUGGCUAUGUGCACUUGUCGCAACAACCGUAAGUGUGUUUACAAAAUGAAACCCCUCAAAGAAGAAGACUCAAGAAUGUUGUUCUUCAAUAGAGUAUUUGGAUCCGAAUAUGAUUGUCCACCCCAGUUUAAAGACGUUUCAGCUGAAAUAUUGAAGAAGUGUGGAGGGUUGCCACUUGCAAUCAUCACUAUAGCUAGUCUAUUAGCUAAUCGUCAAACAAGAUCAAAGGACGAGUGGGAGAGUAUAAUAAAUUCUUUGGGCGCCAAGUUUGCCACAAACCCCACCUUGGAAGAGAUGAGGAGUAUACUAAACCUUAGUUACAUACAUCUUCCCCUUCAUCUUCGUCCAUGUCUCCUGUAUCUUGGCAUGUAUCCAGAAGACAAAAAGAUCAAGAGGCAAGAUUUGGUUCUACAAUGGGUAGCGGAAGGCUUUGUCAAUAAUUGUCAUGGACUAGACUUCGAGGAUGUUGGGAAGAGUUAUUUUAAUGAGCUUAUCAAUAGAAGCUUGAUUCAGCCUACUGGAACCUCAAAUUCUGGAGAGGUGGAAUAUUGCAGAGUACAUGAUAUAAUGCUUGAUUUGAUUGUCAGCAAGUGUGCGGAAGAAAAUUUUAUCAGCGUGGCAUAUAAUUGUGAAGACAUGGCAAGAAUGCAUGCCUACGAGUACAAGGUUCGUAGAUUGUCCUUGAAAUCAAGCGCCAAUGAUGCAACAUUGGGGAUCAUUGGUGCUAGCAUGUCACAAGUUCGAUCAUUUGCACAGUUCGGAGAGUCCAAGUACACACCUGCUCUUUCAUUAUUUAAGUACCUUCGGGUGCUCGUGUAUGACUUCCCAUACCAGAGGGGCACGACAGUCGACCUCACUGUUAUUGGUCAAUUGUUUCAACUAAGGUAUCUGAGUGUUUGUGCAUUCGCAUGCAUCAUAGAUCUCCCUACUGAAAUUCGAGGGCUUGUUCAUUUGGAGACGCUGGAAAUAUCUGGCCAUUCAGCACAAAUCAUCCCAUCAGAUAUUGUUUGCUUGUCACGGUUGUCUCGUCUAACCCUUCCCUAUGGUACGUGUUUGCCUCAAGGGAUUGCGAGCAUAAAAUCGUUGCGUGAUUUGCACUGCUUUGAGAUUGAGAAGAGUUCGCUAGAGGAUAUUAAUGGACUUGGCGAGCUGACCAAUCUGAGGUACUUGGGGUUCCGCAGCCAAGCAAUGAUGACGGAGGUAGUUGAUGCUUUGGUAUCCUCAAUUGGAAAGCUACGUGACCUCAAGCACCUCUUCAUUCAUAAUGAGCCUUCUAAACACUAUUGCGACCCCAUGUACUCAUUUUCAAACCCUCCUCUUCAUAUUGUGGAACUUCGUCUGGGAGGAUGGCGUUUGAAGGGAAUUCCCAGUUGGAUUGGAAAGCUCCAUUGCCUCCGCAUCCUGUAUCUGUCGAUUGGGAACUUGUCAACUGACGUGGUUCAUGUUGUUGGAAAGCUGCCCUCCCUCGCCGAGCUCGUUCUCACGGCGUUGCAUGUCACCGGAGACAGGGCUGCUGCUAUAAUCUGCAUGGGAUCAUUCCCUGUCCUGGAGGUCCUUAAACUCAUCUCUGAUGGUGAUGAUGAUGCUACGACAUGCAUGGAGUUCAAGGCGGGGGCUAUGCCCAACCUACGCGAGCUCACUCUAGGAAUACGUGAUGGAUGGGGUGGUGUUAUGCCACUAGGUAUGGAGAACCUAUUGGCCCUCGAGCGCAUCUACGUAAGUGUUGAAUCCUCUGUCCACAAGCAUUGUGAUGUCAAGACUGCCUUCACGAGCGCCGCCGAUCUGCACCCAAGAUGUCCUUCCGUUAAAAUCUAUCCGCCUUCUCUAUAA
rnacentral:rRNA from 1 species